rnacentral:misc_RNA from 1 species
CUAGUAACGGCGAGUGAAGCGGCAACAGCUCAAAUUUGAAAUCUGGCUCUCGGGCCCGAGUUGUAAUUUGUAGAGGAUGCUUUUGAUGCGGUGCCUUCCGAGUUCCCUGGAACGGGACGCCAUAGAGGGUGAGAGCCCCGUCUGGUUGGAUGCCAAAUCUCUGUAAAGCUCCUUCGACGAGUCGAGUAGUUUGGGAAUGCUGCUCUAAAUGGGAGGUAUAUGUCUUCUAAAGCUAAAUACCGGCCAGAGACCGAUAGCGCACAAGUAGAGUGAUCGAAAGAUGAAAAGCACUUUGAAAAGAGAGUUAAAAAGUACGUGAAAUUGUUGAAAGGGAAGCGUUUAUGACCAGACUUGGGCUUGGUUAAUCAUCUGGGGUUCUCUCCAGUGCACUUUUCCAGUCCAGGCCAGCAUCAGUUUUCGCCGGGGGAUAAAGGCUUCGGGAAUGUGGCUCUCUCCGGGGAGUGUUAUAGCCCGUUGCGUAAUACCCUGGCGGGGACUGAGGUUCGCGCAUCUGCAAGGAUGCUGGCGUAAUGGUCAUCAACGACCCGUCUUGAAACACGGACCAAGGAGUCGUCUUCGUAUGCGAGUGUUCGGGUGUCAAACCCCUACGCGUAAUGAA